AACGAACGCUGGCGGCAUGCCUAACACAUGCAAGUCGAACGAGACCUUCGGGUCUUGUGGCGCCCGGGUUCGUAACGCGUGGGAACCUUCCCUUAGGUUCGGCCUAACUCCCCGACAGGGGUGCUAAUACCGGAUCAUGUCUUCUGACCAAAGAUUUAUCGCCUUUGGUUGGGCCCGCGUUGGAUUCGCUAGUUGGUAGGGUAAAAGCCUACCAAGGCGACGAUCCAUAGCUGGUCUGUGAGGAUGAUCAGCCACACUGGGACUGAGACACGGCCCAGACUCCUACGGGAGGCGGCAGUGGGGAAUAUUGGACAAUGGGCGAAAGCCUGAUCCAGCAAUGCCGCGUGAGUGAUGAAGGCCUUAGAGAUGUAAAGCUCUUUUAACCGGGAUGAUAAUGACAGUACCGGGAGAAUAAGCUCCGGCUAACUCCGUG
rnacentral:rRNA from 1 species